GCCAACUUGUGGUGGCAUUACCAAUCACAAUAUACAUACCUUAUCGAAGACACCUAUCUUAAUACUUUACAUCACAUGAACGUAUUCACAAAAAAAAUGACUCUUCACUUCCAACAGAGUGACCUUGGUAGAGGUUCAGCUAUUAAAUGCUGAGAUACCUACCUAGGAGACGAAUCAACAUGAACACCUCGACCUAAGUUCCGACUGCUUCCUG
rnacentral:lncRNA from 1 species